GUGAAUCAUCGAAUUUUUGAACGCAAAUUGCACUCUCUGGUAUUCCGGAGAGUAUGCCUGUUUGAGGGUCAGUUUAAAUAAAAAUCGGUGUGGGUUCUGCGUUGCUUGGUGACGCACUGGGUGUGGGUCGGCUUGCAUUCGGUUAGGUGACCGAGAAUUUUUCAUGAUUUUUUUCGAACGUAUUGAAAUGAUUUUACAAA
rnacentral:misc_RNA from 1 species